GUCCCCGUAGCUUAACUGGAUAGAGCGCGGCCCUGCGAAGGCUGAGACUAUGAGUUCGACUCUCAUCGGGGACG
rnacentral:tRNA from 1 species